rnacentral:misc_RNA from 1 species
AACCUAGCACACCUGCGGUGUGUACCUGCGGAGGGAUCAUUACAGAGAUUGAUGCACCAAGUGCAUCACCUCCAACCCCUUGCGAAAACAACUAUCAUGUGUUGCUUUGGCAGUGUUUCCACUGCCAGAGGUUUACAUAAAAUCAGCUGUUGGAUGUUGUCUGAGUAAACUAUAUGAAUUAUUUAAAACUUUCAACAACGGAUCU